GAUGAACGCUGGCGGCGUGCCUAAUACAUGCAAGUCGAGCGAACAGACGAGGAGCUUGCUCCUCUGACGUUAGCGGCGGACGGGUGAGUAACACGUGGAUAACCUACCUAUAAUACUGGGAUAACUUCGGGAAACCGGAGCUAAUACCGGAUAAUAUAUUGAACCGCAUGGUUCAAUAGUGAAAGACGGUUUUGCUGUCACUUAUAGAUGGAUCCGCGCCGCAUUAGCUAGUUGGUAAGGUAACGGCUUACCAAGGCAACGAUGCGUAGCCGACCUGAGAGGGUGAUCGGCCACACUGGAACUGAGACACGGUCCAGACUCCUACGGGAGGCAGCAGUAGGGAAUAUUCCGCAAUGGGCGAAAGCCUGACGGAGCAACGCCGCGUGAGUGAUGAAGGUCUUCGGAUCGUAAAACUCUGUUAUUAGGGAAGAAAAACUGUGUAAGUAACUAUGCACGUCUUGACGGUACCUAAUCAGAAAGCAACGGCUAACUACGUG
rnacentral:rRNA from 1 species